GGGAGAUGUAGACCAGAGCUGUUCCUAUUCGGCCAUCUUGGCUCCUCCCAGGCAGCAGCACUUCUGCCAGCAUUACUAGUUAUGGAGUUACAAUAAUCCUCAUCUAUUGCCAUGUUGUACGACUCAAUGUUGUUUCUGCUCAGGACACACUUUUCACAGUUUAACAAAUGCAUAACUUCCACUUCUGACCAAGAUGGAACAACAGAACACCCAGAUUCAUAAAGCAAGUCCUUAGAGACCUACAAAGAGACUUAGACUCCCAGACAAUAAUAAUACUGUCAGACUCCCACUGUCAACGUUAGACAGAUCAACGAAAAAGAAAGUUAACAAGGAUAUCCAGGACUUGAACUCAGCUUUGCACCAAGAGGAUCUAAUAGACAUCUACAGAACUCUCUACCCCAAAUAAAUAUAAUAUACAUUCUUCUCAGUACAACAUCUCACUUAUUCCAAAAUUGACCACAUAGUUGGAAAUAAAGCACUUCUCAGCAAAUGUAAAAGAACAGAAAUUAUAACAAACUGUCUCUCAGACCACGGUGCAAUCAAAUUAGAAAUCAGGAUUAAGAAACUCACACAAAACCACACAGCUAAUGGAAACUGAACAACCUGCUCCUGAAUGACUACUGGGUAAAUAACGAAAUGAAGGCAGAAAUAAAGAUGUUCUUUGAAACCAACGAGAACAAAGACAAG
rnacentral:lncRNA from 1 species